GAGCUCAACUCCAGAACUGCCAUUGAUACUAUCUAUCUUGAAUAUUGUGGAGGUAAGCGGAAUAUGUCAUGUAGCGGUGAAAUGCUUAGAUAUGACAUAGAACACCCAUUGCGAAGGCAGCUUACUACGCAUAUAUUGACGCUGAGGCACGAAAGCGUGGGGAUCAAACAGGAUUAGAUACCCUGGUAGUCCACGCCCUAAACUAUGGAUACUCGACAUAUGCGAUACACUGUAUGUGUCUGAGCGAAAGCAUUAAGUAUCCCACCUGGGAAGUACGUUCGCAAGAAUGAAACUCAAAGGAAUUGGCGGGGGUCCGCACAAGCGGUGGAGUAUGUGGUUUAAUUCGAUGAUACGCGAGGAACCUUACCUGGGCUAGAAUGCUGGGAGAUCGCUAGUGAAAGCUAGUUUUGUAGCAAUACACUGCCAGUAAGGUGCUGCAUGGCCGUCGUCAGCUCGUGCCGUGAGGUGUUGGGUUAAGUCCCGCAACGAGCGCAACCCCUAUCUUUAGUUGCCAACAGGUAAUGCUGGGAACUCUAAAGAAACUGCCGCCGUAAGGUGUGAGGAAGGAGGGGAUGAUGUCAGGUCAUCAUGGCCUUUAUGCCCAGGGCUACACACGUACUACAAUGGGGGAGACAAAGGGCUGCAACAUAGCGAUAUGAAGCCAAUCCCAAAAACUCCCUC
rnacentral:rRNA from 1 species